GAUGAACGCUGACAGAAUGCUUAACACAUGCAAGUCUACUUAAACUUCGGUUUGGGUGGCGGACGGGUGAGUAACGCGUAAAGAACUUGCCUCACAGUUAGGGACAACAUUUGGAAACGAAUGCUAAUACCUGAUAUUAUGAUUUUAGGGCAUCCUAAGAUUAUGAAAGCUAUAUGCGCUGUGAGAGAGCUUUGCGUCCCAUUAGCUAGUUGGAGAGGUAACGGCUCACCAAGGCGAUGAUGGGUAGCCGGCCUGAGAGGGUGAACGGCCACAAGGGGACUGAGACACGGCCCUUACUCCUACGGGAGGCAGCAGUGGGGAAUAUUGGACAAUGGACCAAAAGUCCGAUCCAGCAAUUCUGUGUGCACGAUGACGUUUUUCGGAAUGUAAAGUGCUUUCAGUUGGGAAGAAAAAAAUGACGGUACCAACAGAAGAAGUGACGGCUAAAUACGUGCCAGCAGCCGCGGUAAUACGUAUGCCACAAGCGUUAUCCGGAUUUAUUGGGCGUAAAGCGCGUCUAGGUGGUUAUGUAAGUCUGACGUGAAAAUGCAGGGCUCAACUCUGUAUUGCGUUGGAAACUGCAUGACUAGAGUACUGGAGAGGUAAGCGGAACUACAAGUGUAGAGGUGAAAUUCGUAGAUAUUUGUAGGAAUGCCGAUGGGGAAGCCAGCUUACUGGACAGAUACUGACGCUAAAGCGCGAAAGCGUGGGUAGCAAACAGG
rnacentral:rRNA from 1 species